AACCUUGAAAUCUUGCUAAUUAUCUUCAAAUUGAAUUGUAAUGCAGCGAGAAACUCUUGGGUUCUUGCCUCUCGAAUCUCUCUGCAGUGAGAAUCCACUCUCACUGCAGCGAGAAACCUUCUGCCUUGUUACUACCUUGCUUGAUUUCUGCCAUAUUUUCUACUUCUUUAACCUCACUGUUGAUCAUGGAUUUUCAACAUCAAGGGAUUAGUUAAUCAAGUUUGAAAUGAGGGGUUUUAAUAAGAAUUAAACUAAAUUGCAUUGUUUUUGAAACUAAGUGCAUCAUGAUUUUUAAACUUUCCUUAUCAUCACUUGUUCCCUUCCUAUGUUCACUCACUGGGUUUAUGCUCACGUUUUUAAACUUCAUGUUUUAGGUUUCUGAGAAAAAGGUGAUUGGAUCCUUAGAUGAGGUUAUCCUCCCUAUCCAUUGUCGGUAGGUUUGCCAUGAUACUAAGUGUUACCACCCACUCCCAGAGUCACUUCGCUGACAUUCAGAGUCUUUGAAUGUGUACAUGUAAACUGGAUGUGAUUUGUUAAAAAUCGUUUGGCAAACUUUUUAUGUAUAUUAAGAUUGAUGAAUACCAUUAUGAAUAUAUACUUGGAUUUUAUGAAUCGAUUUCAAUGAAGUUAUUAUUUGAACAUUAUGAUUUAUGGAACUUAAAAGGGAAUAUGGAUGAUAAAGGGGCUCACGUACAGGUUCAUAUGGGAAUGCUUGCUUGGGCUUAGUGGGCUAUGCCCAUUAGGCCCAUGUGCCGGUCAUGGCCCAAAAAUUGGGCUGUUACAAUGUUGGUAUCAGAGCUCUAGGUUUAGUCUAGUCCUAGGGAUUCUCGUGUCAGUUAAUGGAGUUGUCAGAGUUAAUGUAGAGUCUUGUUUGUUAUUUGUGAUUGCAGCACAAGUCAUUGAUAGGAGGCUACAUAAACUCCUGUUCCUAGUAACCUACCUUUUUGCUAACCUCAUGUAAAGGUCAUAAGUGGUGCCGUCAUUCAGGUUUGAGAUGUCACCCGAGACACGAGUUGUUGUUGGAAGAUUUUAAGUAAAUGUUCCUAAUAAAAGUUUAGUGUGAUGGUAUAUCCCUUCGAUUAAGGAUGGGGGAAAGUGGAGUUGGAUUAGUACAUCCAUGAUAACUUGUUCAUUUGGUGGAGUUAAAAAAUUUGAGCCCAAGAUUGUCAAUGGGAAGAAAAUUUGAUGACUAUGAAUUGUAUUUGGGGUCAAUAUAGAGGAGCAUGUGUGAUAAUGGUAAUAAGGGGCGUACUUUGACUGGAAUGACUAGUGGUUGCUGUAAAUGAGGUGUGGUCAUCAAGAAAAAGUCUAGUAAACCAAACUUGUCACGACCGGUACUCCCCUCGAGCCCAUGACAACCGCCGCGACAUCCCGAUAGAUAUUCAUUGCUCGGAAUGCCAACCGAAACCUCGCAAGGGUUUAAUAUCAGUUUCUCAUUUCCCCUGUGUGUAACUGUUGCCAAAUAUCAUGUUCUAAAGGAUUUUAAGCUAUUUCUAACUUAAAUCAAUAAAAAAAUGAUUUCUGUUUCACAGGGGCAUUUUGGUCAUUUUUCCUUAAAAUCUCGAAACCAGCCAAAAAUAUAGUAUGCGAAUGGAAAACACAUAUUUCAUAAUAAAAAAUAAGUUUAGAUGACUAAAACAUUCAUUUAAAGCGAAACUAUAACUAUUUGAAUAUAAUAAAAAUAUUCAAUAAAAUAUUCUAUUUUCUUAUAAAACAAUAUUUAUAGAGUUCCCAGUAAAUAAUUUUUGUAGCGUAAAAGCUAAAUAAAUUCAUACAUAUUGUAAUACAGAUAACCAAAGCAUAAGAUUUAAUUUACAAUGACACAUGAGCCCACGAACGACCAAAAGUAUCAAAAGCGGUAAACCUACAGUUUUUGAUGAUGCAAGUCUAACUGUAACCCUUAUCAAUGUGAGCUAUCUACCAACUAUCCUGAGCCUAAAAUGGGUGGAAAUGAGGGUGGUGAGAUUAUAUAAUCCUAGUGAGUAAACAAAUACCAUCUAAAAUAUCUAACACUGAGUAAAUGGAGACAAAUAAAAUAGUUUAACAUACUGUAAUUCAUCACAUUUCAAGCAAAUAAAAUCAAUUCAUAUAAAUCGAGUAAUCAACAUGGCUUAUGAAUUUUUUAAAACUUUGGUUCGUGCCAAAAUCAUUCUCAUACUCAGUUAUCAGGGAUACCUUGACUGAGGGUUAUCCCAACCGAGUCCGCCAAGGCUGUUAAAAAGUUAUGUACGCAUAAAUCAUGUUUUUAUUUUAAAACAUAGCCGUUCCUUGGCAUUGGCUGAGUUCACCCUCACGUGGUGGUUUGGCGUGAAGUGAACUCUAAAGUGUUAACCUUAGGAGUUAUCCAUCCGCGCCUCUCAUACUGAGGUAUGAAUAUAAUAAAGUUACCGUGCCCCCUCUAAUAGGCUGGUCCACGGAACCUGUCCACUGCAAUGACUAAUCAAUAACCCACCAAUUCAAUAAAAUUUAACAGCAUGACAUGGCAAUUUUAUCAUUAUCCAGCCUAUCAAGGCAAACAACAGUUUAUAAAUUUUCAACACAAAUACCAAUUCAACCAUUCAUGCCAAUAUUAUCAUAAGCCAUUCAAUUCAAACCAUGAUUUAUAACACAGCAAUUAGUCUCCAAUUACUCCAUUUUCAAAACCAUCUUUCAAUUUCAAGAUAAUUUUAUAAAAUCAUUUCAUUUAAACACAUUUUGUUUAUAAAACAUAAAGAUUUACCAUUUAAACUUAUUUUCCAUAAAAUCACAAAAUUAGAUAAAAACCACUUUAGACAAUUAAGACGAUAGUAAGGUUACUCACUAUUUUGGGAGUCAAAUUCCGAGUACUCCGAUUCUUGAUCCUCAAGUACUAUCUCUUUACUUUUGCCAGAAUGCUCACCACCUGGACAUAAUGCAUAAUAAGCCAUUUACUACAUUUGUGCUAAAUUGUUAUAAAACCAAUUCAAGCUCUAUACUAAUGCAUGAAAUGGGAUGUAAAUUGUUCGAAUUAUCAUCUAAACACGAUGAUCUACACAAAUUCAAUUGUGUACCUAAAUAAAACGGUAUUGGCCUAAUUCGAUCUAUCACCCGAUUAAUUGGCCAAUACGUCCAAUUCAACUCCAAAUAAUUCCAUUUUUCUUCCAAUUCUCCAAACCAUCAAACACAAGUUAAAUAACUUGAAAUAUGGCAAAAUCAUCCUCAGAUUUUCUCUUGGAAAAUUUGGCCAUGGUGGGUGCAUCAACACUAUAAUUUUUCAAGCUUGAUUCUCACACCAUAAAUUACUAAUUCCUAACCAGAUCACUUGAAAUAAAAUCAAAAUCAUCAUCAAUACUCUACAAGGAAGAUUCGGCCAAUGGAGGUUCUUGAGGGGUAUACGGUUUUUCAUGCUCAACAUUACCAUUUUCGGUUUCUACCAACACAAUUCAUUAAAUUUUAACUAAAUAACAUAAGACAUCACAAGAUUCAUCUUCAAUAUUGCCUUUAUGAAAUUCGGCCAAUGAAGAAUCCAUGAAGAACAUGUAAUUUUUCUUACUUGUUUUCCUUCCAAACAUGAUAAAUCAACUAUAAACACUAAAAUAUCUCAAAAUCUAACCAAAUAAAUCAUCAAAUCUUCUCUCUCUAAAUUCGUUCAGCCAUGAAUCCUUCAUGAUAUCUUGUGAUUCAAUCAUGGAAAAUGCAAAAGAAUGCAUGGGAAAGGUAGAUCACAAGUCAAAAUAAAGAAAUUUUACCUUUGAUUGCUUGAUUACUUGAAAUCCACCAAUUUUCUCUUGAAUUUUCACCCUAGGGUUCUUGUUCUUUCUUUUCUUCCUUUGUUCUUGCUUUGGCCAGCCAUAUGAAG
rnacentral:lncRNA from 1 species